CUUCAUUAACAGCACGGAGGUCCUGUACCAUGCGGUACUGGCCGGGUUGGCCCUUAACAGUUCGCUUUUUAACAGGGAAAAGUGGGGUGUUGCAUGGAGAUGUGCACUUGGUGAGGGCACCUUUGGCAAGCAGAGACUCAACUUGUUUGGUGAUGGCUUCUGCUUGUGCUGGCUUCAGAGGAUACUGAGGUCUACGAGGAGGAAGUGCUCCAGGCAGGAGCUGGACCAGGACGGGGGGUACAUGUAAGCGUCCAAUAUCAUCCGGGCCGGUGGACCAAAGUUCUUGGGGGAUACGAUCCAGAGCACUGGGGGCGUGUGUGACCCGUGCACUCCCUGUAUUGUCAGUUAGGUUCAACAAGAUGGGGAGUGAGCAGAGUACAGUGGUGUCUGUCUGUGAUAAGGGUGUAGUUAACUGGACCCUGGAGCCGAGAAAGAACAUCAGCACCCAAGAGGUUAAUGGGACAAGUAGAAGAAACAACAAAACGUGAGAGUAUGUGUGAACCAACAUGCAGGAGUGUAGGGAGGGGGCUACUGCGGGGUGUACCAUCCACCCCAACACAGGAGACAUCGGUGUCUGACAAAAAGGAGGGGUCAUGGCAGGGGUUGCUGACACAGGCUUGCCGGUAACCUAUUGCAGUAAAUCUAAAUGGGCCUGGUCGGGUCCUUGGUACCGGUGGGUAGAAGUGGGAGGGUGGCUGGACUGCAUAGGAGCACGGGCAAGGCGGCAUUGUCGAGGUAGGGGCUGAAUAUCUCGGAAACCACCCGUGUCAAACCCA